UGUAGUUAUAUGCUUGUCUCAAAGAUUAAGCCAUGCAUGUCUAAGUAUAAGCAAUUAUACAGCGAAACUGCGAAUGGCUCAUUAUAUAAGUUAUCGUUUAUUUGAUAGCUCCUUACUACUUGGAUAACCGUGGUAAUUCUAGAGCUAAUACAUGCUGAAAAUCCCGACUUCGGAAGGGACGUAUUUAUUAGAUUAAAAACCAAUGCCCUUCGGGGCUCUCUGGUGAUUCAUGAUAACUGCUCGAAUCGCAGGGCCUUGCGCCGGCGAUGGUUCAUUCAAAUUUCUUCCCUAUCAACUUUCGAUGUUUGGGUCUUGGCCAAACAUGGUUGCAACGGGUAACGGAGGGUUAGGGCUCGACCCCGGAGAAGGAGCCUGAGAAACGGCUACUACAUCCAAGGAAGGCAGCAGGCGCGCAAAUUACCCAAUCCCGACACGGGGAGGUAGUGACAAUAAAUACCGAUACAGGGCUCUUUAGGGUCUUGUAAUUGGAAUGAGUACAAUUUAAAUCCCUUAACGAGGAACAAUUGGAGGGCAAGUCUGGUGCCAGCAGCCGCGGUAAUUCCAGCUCCAAUAGCGUAUAUUAAAGUUGUUGUGGUUAAAAAGCUCGUAGUUGGCUCUUGGGCCUGGCUGGCCGGUCCGCCUCACCGCGUGUACUGGUCCGGCCGGGCCUUUCCCUCUGUGGAACCCCAUGCCCUUCACUGGGCGUGGCGGGGAAACAGGACUUUUACUUUGAAAAAAUUAGAGUGCUCAAGGCAGGCCUAUGCUCGAAUACAUUAGCAUGGAAUAAUGGAAUAGGACGUGUGGUUCUAUUUUGUUGGUUUCUAGGACCGCCGUAAUGAUUAAUAGGGACAGUCGGGGGCAUCAGUAUUCAAUUGUCAGAGGUGAAAUUCUUGGACCAAUUGAAGACUAACUACUGCGAAAGCAUUUGCCAAGGAUGUUUUCAUUAAUCAGGAACGAAAGUUAGGGGAUCGAAGACGAUCAGAUACCGUCGUAGUCUUAACCAUAAACUAUGCCGACUAGGGAUCGGACGAUGUUAUUACUUGACUCGUUCGGCACCUUACGAGAAAUCAAAGUGCUUGGGCUCCAGGGGGAGUAUGGUCCAAGGCUGAAACUUAAAGAAAUAGGAGCUGAGACUGGGGCUUGAAGCUUAUAUAAAAGCAGCCGGGAAAACCGGCAGGUGGUGCCUGUGAAAUGCUAGUCGCAGCGGGUUUCCCGCGGCGGCGACAUCCUCAAAUUGCGGGGAGUCCCUAAAGCCACUGAGACCAAGCGGGCGCCCGAAAGGGCCCCGUGGCCGAGCUAACAGCCCUGGGUAUGGUAAAACUUCAGUUGGAUGCUACAAUGGGUGAUCCGCAGCCAAGCUCCUAAGCAGUCCGCUGUAGGGAGAAGGUUCAGAGACUUGACGGGGAUGGGUUCGGCGCAAGCCUUGCCUGAGAUAAAGUCCGUCUACCCGUGAAAACGUGCUAGAACCCUAAACGNNNNNNNNNNNNNNNNNNNNNNNGGAGCCUGCGGCUUAAUUUGACUCAACACGGGGAAACUCACCAGGUCCAGACACAAUGAGGAUUGACAGAUUGAGAGCUCUUUCUUGAUUUUGUGGGUGGUGGUGCAUGGCCGUUCUUAGUUGGUGGAGUGAUUGGUCUGCUUAAUUGCGAUAACGAACGAGACCUUAACCUGCUAAAUAGCCCGUAUUGCUUUGGCAGUACGCUGGCUUCUUAGAGGGACUAUCGGCUCAAGCCGAUGGAAGUUUGAGGCAAUAACAGGUUGACCUUCACAGGCCUGUUACAGUGGGCCUCUAUAAAAACCGCUAGUUGAAGAUUUCACCUCCGUUGGGAAGUCCCAGUAUCGGGCGGAGGGGACGCAUGUCGUCUAUCUUCAGCGACACUACCUGGAACAGGGGAACCUAAAGACUAGGUCUACGGUGAUCCUGUGGCGAGUUCGGGUCACGCCGAACCGUCGCAACGCGCGCUAAGGAGUGGGCUGCUCACGCGGCUUAAGGUACGUGCUAAUCCCAUGGGAAACCAUGCCCCUGUGAAUAGACCCGAUAGUCGAAGCACAGGGGGCGUCUUCGGGCGCGGUGGAGACGGGAACAGUUCUCUGUUCGGAGGAGCCUAGGCUUCUCUGCGUUCUCUCGGAGCGGCUGCUGCUGCCCCGGGGGGACACUGUCGAAAAAUGCUGUGAUGCCCUUAGAUGUUCUGGGCCGCACGCGCGCUACACUGACAGGGCCAGCGAGUACUUCCUUGACCGAAAGGUCCGGGUAAUCUUGUUAAACCCUGUCGUGCUGGGGAUAGAGCAUUGCAAUUAUUGCUCUUCAACGAGGAAUCCCUAGUAAGCGCAAGUCAUCAGCUUGCGUUGAUUACGUCCCUGCCCUUUGUACACACCGCCCGUCGCUACUACCGAUUGAAUGGCUCAGUGAGGCGUCCGGACGGCCUAGAGGCGUUGGGCAACUAACACUCAGGGCCGGAAAGCUCUCCAAACUCGGUCAUUUAGAGGAA
rnacentral:sRNA from 1 species